UACGUAGGUCCCGAGCGUUGUCCGGAUUUAUUGGGCGUAAAGCGAGCGCAGGUGGUUUAUUAAGUCUGGUGUAAAAGGCAGUGGCUCAACCAUUGUAUGCAUUGGAAACUGGUAGACUUGAGUGCAGGAGAGGAGAGUGGAAUUCCAUGUGUAGCGGUGAAAUGCGUAGAUAUAUGGAGGAACACCGGUGGCGAAAGCGGCUCUCUGGCCUGUAACUGACGCUGAGGUGCGAAAGCGUGGGUAGCAAACAGG
rnacentral:rRNA from 1 species